UCACAGUAUUCCUGUGCUAUAAAUAAGACAUUUGCUUCUUUGUAGUUAAAGACUUAGAGAUGCAAGAAGUUGCCGACUCAGAAGUAAGCAGGGGCUGAGUUGAGAUAUAAGACAGUUCUGUGUGUUUCUUUUCAUAGUGUGAUCGAUGUGCCGGUGUCUUACAUGUUGCUUCUUCCUGCACUCUAGGCCUCUCCUCUUCACCCCCUCGUGGACCACCAUUGCCAGCUAAACAAAGGCGGUGAAUCUUCGUCCUGAUCCAUUGUCCUUCUGAGACCCAUAAUGAGCUCACCAGUACAGCCCGGAAAGCUGUCCAAAAAGACAACCCUCACACCCCGGAACAGAUUGGCACAUUUUCUGUUGAACCUAAAGGAGC
rnacentral:lncRNA from 1 species